rnacentral:rRNA from 1 species
UAUCUCUGUAGAGUCUGCAUAUCAAUAAGCGGAGGAAAAGAAACUAACUAGGACUUCCCUUAGUAACGGCGAGUGAAGCGGGAAGAGCUCAAAUUUGAAAUCUUCAAGGUUCUACCUUGACGAAUUGUAGUUUAAAGAAGUGUUUUCUGUUAGAUGAGUAGCAAAAGUUCCUUGGAAUGGGACAUCAUAGAGGGUGAGAAUCCCGUAUUUGGUUAUUCAUUCUAGCUUUGUGAUACACUUUCAAAGAGUCGGAUUGUUUGGGAAUGCAGUCCAAAAUGGGUGGUAAAUUUCAUCUAAAGCUAAAUAUUGGCGAGAGACCGAUAGCGAACAAGUACCGUGAGGGAAAGAUGAAAAGAACUUUGAAAAGAGAGUUAAACAGUACGUGAAAUUGUCAAAAGGGAAGCGUUUGACACCAGUGUUGUUUUUCCGAAAAUCAAUUACGAAUGGCUUGAUUCUGUGUUGUAUUGACCUUAUCAGCUUUCUGCACUUUUUUUCGAGUCUUUCUUAAUGCACUUUUUCGGUUAACAAGUCAACAUCAAUUUCUUUUGUUGUAAAAGAGUAUUCGGAAGGUGGCUUUCUUUUCGGAGAAAGUGUUUAUAGCCCUAUACUUCUACAAUCGGAGAGAUUGAGGUCUGCAGCGUAGAUCCUUCGGGGUUAGAUACACUUGUGCUAAGUUGUAGCUUUUCAUAGACAACUUGUUGACUAUGUUUAGUCAUGCGGCUUACUCGCUUGUGCUAUUUUACCUACGCUUAGGAUGUUGACGAGACUGUCGAUCUC